UACAGAGGGUGCAAGCGUUAUCCGGAAUUACUGGGUUUAAAGGGUGCGUAGGCGGCGCAGUAAGUCAGGAGUGAAAGUUUGCGGCUCAACCGUAAAAUUGCUUUUGAUACUGCUGUGCUAGAAUUAGGAUGAGGUUAGCGGAAUGUGGCAUGUAGCGGUGAAAUGCAUAGAUAUGCCAUAGAACACCAAUUGCGAAGGCAGCUGGCUAGACCUAUAUUGACGCUGAGGCACGAAAGCGUGGGGAGCGAAC
rnacentral:rRNA from 1 species